GUUUUAGUCUCCUGGUCACAUACAAAUGAAAUAGGAGGGCCUGACAAAUACAGAAAUUUAGGAGCCCUAUGACUCGACAUCAGACAGACUUCUCAGAUGUUUGGAUCUCUAUUAUUAUGUCUGAUUACUUAAACCUAAAAAGUCUAAGACUGAAUUCAGUUUUUUUCUCUAAACAUUUUUCCUUCUAAAAUUUCACUGUUGUGUUUUGGUGAUACUCUAUGCCCCAGCUGCCAAGUUUUCCAUAUUUUUUAAAAUAUAUUUACUCAGUUCAAUUAUUUAUUCAACAAGUACCUGUCCAGUUGGCAUCUUGUGUGAGUCACAUACUGGACACUCUGGGAUGGAGAGACAGGUCAGUGCCCACCCUCGGGAGUUCACAGUGCGGCGGGUCCCUUUCUGCAUCCUCUCCCUCCUGUCUCUGCUGUCUUUAGUUUCUUCCUUCCCACCCCCAUUGCAGCUGCUCUAAUAAGGGGCCUUCUCCAUCACAUCUGGCCCACAGCAAUCAAGCGCUCCAUGGCCUCAGAGAGCCUAAAAGCUACAGCUUCAAAAUCCAGUUUCCCACUAACCUCUUUCAGCAGUUCUCAACUUUAGUUCUGCAUCAAAUGCAUUGGCAACUUUUUUUUUUUGAUCUGUCUGUUUUUGACACGGAUGUCCAGGAACCCUCCUGCAGAGGGCUUGGUUCAUAUGUAAUCUUGAAAUGGUGCCUUCCUUGGGCUUCCAAAAAAGAGACAAUUGUUCAUUCGUUUGUUUGUUUAGUUCUUUGUACUUUACUUUUACUGAUUAAUUGGUAUUCUUGUGCCACUCUGUCCCUUCCACUAGACUAUGACAGCCCUGAUGCCAAGAAAUGCUACCCUACUCAGCUUUCUGCACAGCAGUUGGAUACAAAUGGCUUCUGAAGAUAUAUCACAUCUGUCCAAGAAUGAAAAUCAAUUUUCAUGCCCAGAAAUUUUGAACUUUCUAAAUUACUCUGUGAAAGUGUUUUACUCUCAUGCAAUGAAAGGCAGAAAAACCAAAAGCAGUGAUGGGGAAAUAAUAAAGUUCCUUCCUAUACAAUUACCAUACGCUUUUGAUUCCGGUAGUUCAGUGCUCAUUAUGUUGCUUUUUGGAUUCUUCCUUCCUUUUCUGACUUUUGAACCAAUGCACACAAUGGGAACUGGAUUAUUCAAAGGCAGAAGAAGAAGAAAUGCUGAUGAAGCCUUGCUACAGGACGUGGGAAGGGAAUGACAGCCAGCGAGUCUCUUUAGACUCCACUUACGCUCCAGACUCCUCUUGACUUCUGACCCUGCCUGUGAAUGAGUGGCUGUGGAUCAUCAGGUCGCUGCUUUCCUGUCUGGCAUCACUAAUCUUGUAUGAACAGCAGUAACUACAGAAAGCAUUCAUUGAGAUCCAUGCUUCCUACUGUAUUGCGGCUGAUACUGGGACAACCACCACAGCAGCAGCAAACAUUACCUCGCUGUUACAUAUUUGUUUAUUCAGUCACUUCAUCAUUCACUCAAUCAGCAAUACUGUUGAAUGUGUCUGGAACUCCUCUCCCAGAUAUUGGCGACAGAGAGGAGCAAAAGGAUUGGGUGCUUUCCCUCAGUUAAC
ensembl:lncRNA